rnacentral:sRNA from 1 species
GCCAGGCGCGGUGGUGUAUGCCUGUAAUCCCAGCAGCUCAGGAGGCUGAGGCAGGAGGAUCAGGAGUUCAAAGCCAGUCUCAGAAAAAAAAAAAAGGAAGGUGCUAAGCAAUUCAGUGAGACCCUGUCUAUA